UCAAGGCUUUUACGUACGAGUG
rnacentral:siRNA from 1 species